GUGUUUUGGUAGUUUGUCCAUCUCUAAAGUCUUGAGUCGGUUCAAUGCGUGUAGUGGUUUCGUGGAUUGCGUUAUAUGCCUGCUGUUAUGUGGUUCUGGAUUUGUAGGCUCAGGCCUUAUGUUGUCACGUGGGGGUUUGUGGGCUCCUAAGUAGUGUGGUCGAGUAGCAUUGCGUGUGGGUUAAUAGGUCGGUCUCUUUGUUGCUGCAUGGAUGUGCUGAGUGUGUUUUAGUG